UCUUGUGGAACAGGAACAUUAUGCCAAACUUUGGUCAUAUGGUGUAAGGAUAGAAGCUAACGACAUGUCAGAUGGGAAAAAGUAUUUCAAUAGAUUCUAUGUGUGUUUUGAGGGUGUGAUAAAGGGAUGGAUGGGGUUGUAGGAAAAUAAUAGGGCUAGAUGGUGGUUUCUUAAAGGGAAUAUGCAAAGGGUAAUUGCUUAGUAUAGUUGGAAGGGAUGCAAAAACUAUGGCGCUUCUUCCUCGAACGCCGACCACCCCUUCUCAUGCUCCAUCAACGACUUCUUCUGCCUCCAACCCUCCCAUCGACCACUAUCGUCGUCGAUACUCCACCACCGACAUUUUCUCCUGCGCAACCUCCUUGCCCGCAACCUUUUCCACCGUCGUCUUUCCAACUCUCGCUCUCUUAAUUCAAGUAUUUUACUUACAUUCCCGAUUUUUGAUGAAGUUGUGAUUGCUUUAUUACUUAAAGUUGGGGAGAGUGAACUCACUUUAUCUUGCCCUGUUUAUGUAUGAGCUCAUCCCUUUGUUCGUGGAUUUGCCCCAAUUUGUUUGGAGCUUUGUAGUUCAUGAUCUGCCCUAAAUUCUCUCUACAUGGAUUUGUUCAGAGAUUUGUAGUUCAUGGAUUUUCCCCAAUCUUGAACACAGGUCACGAAAGGUGAAAGUUCCAACUUGGAUCGGUGAUAAUAAAGAAGAAUUUCAAUGAAUGUUACACUGUGAAGAUGGUAGUCAACGUGUCUAAAGCUAUAAAAGUACGAAUUUGAGAUUCUAUUCGUAUAGUAAUUACUUGUAAGAAUCGUCAAUAUCUUGUAACAAUUACUAUUAGCAAUCACUCUCAAACCAUAUUGUUUUAUUUUAUCGUUUAUUUUUAUUAAUUGUCACAAUACAAAUUGUUGGUUGACGAGUUUGAUGUGUGUACAAAGGGAAGCCAAGGGACUUGAAAAAUGUUGAUAAGUUAUGUAAAAACGGAACUGUGUGUAUAUUUGUCUAUAUCUAUGUAUGCGAAAAAUGUUGUUUGAGGGUAUAUAGUCAUUUUG